UGAUUGUAUGAAAGGAGAGAAGGUUAGCACUUCCUUUGAUACAGAUGGAAGAGGCCCUUGGUCCUAACAACACACAUAUAAGGCAUUGCCAUCUUGGGGGCAUCUAACCAUUGUAU
rnacentral:ncRNA from 1 species